CGUGCCGGCGCUCGUCAUUGGGCGGCCCGGCCGUGAUUGACGGGGCCGGGAGCCUAUCGGCGACGGCGGCCCGGCCGCCUUUAAGCCCCGCCCCGAUCUCCCUGGCAACAGCCAAUGGGGGGGGGCCCCGCGGGUCACGUCAUCGUCUAACGAUGCGACCGGGAAGGUGAGGAGCGGCCCCAGCCGCUUCCAGAAAACGCUGUCCUCGCCACCAUGAUGGGCCCCCUCUCAGUGGGUGGCGAGGGCUCCUCUUCAGGGGAGAACGGCCUCAGUCAGUGGGACAGUCCGGCCUGGGCAGCCUCAACCAGAGGCAGGAAGGAAAUAUCCCCCUCUUACCGUAGCCUCCGUUUAGAAGGGAAAGUCAGGGCUCAGAGGAACCAGAGGGGACCUGACCUUUCCUUACUCCAGUCCAUCUUUUGGGGACCGUCGCCCCAGUCUCCUUUUCAACCGUCGACCGUUUAAUUUAUUGAGCUGAGGGUUCCUCUCCAGGAUCGGGCCGGGAUUUUUGCUGCCCUCCUUGGGCAGAGGAGUGAGGCUGGGUUGCCGUCGUGGGGCCUGCGACCCCUGCGCAGGCCCCCCAUUACAGCCCUGCCCGAGCCCCCCUUUGUGAUCUCAAAAUGGUGUCGUGAGGGUGAGCCGGCCUCCCCUCUGGGGAUGGUUGGGUCGCCACCCCUUCACGUCCGGAUCUUCCCCGGGUCUCCGUCGUCGGGGACGGGCCCGACGGGGCCGUCCCGCCGGACUGGGGGUGAACGGUUCAGUGGGAGAUCAAUCGGUGGUCCCUGUUGAGCGCUUACCGUGUGCAGAGCACUGAACUUGUGCUUGGGGGAGGGCGAUGGACCCGGUAGCCCCGUUCCCCUCCCAAGUCUGUCCUGCCAAGCCCCCGGGGAACGACGUAAGCCUGGUCCUCGGGACUGGCCAGUGAGUUGGACGCUUGGGCCUUGCCGGGAGCUGUUGCGAGCGAGUUCUGUGCCUCGGACGAUUAACCACCAGUGAGUGGCUGGAACCUGGCUGGGUUAGGCUCCUUGCCUCAAGAAGGAACUCUGCCCUGCCUUCUCUUCCUUCAUUCCACUUGCAUCCCCCCUCCGCCAAUGCCAAGCCUUAGCCCUGUCGCAUCCCAUCAGUCUCCCGGAGCCCUGGGGACCGCGGUGACUGCUGUGGGAGAAAGGGACAAGCUGAGGGAGUUGGGGUUGACAGAUCCCACUGAGGUUCGUGGCCACAUGCCGCUGCUCCUUGGGGUCCGACUUAGAGUUCAUGAUGAUGGCAAUUGAGAACUCAUCCUUUGGUGAACAGCAGGAGCUGCGGGAACAUCCCUUCUCUCCGUGUUCCCCAACCCUAAGAGAGUACUUCCAUCGGGUCUGCUUCACCUUGACCAAAUACCAGGGUUUGCUCAAGAGGCCCGGGAAGGUGGAAGGGGCUAGAGAGGUGGGUGGCCGUCACCUCUUCUCAGCACAUUUCCAGCUCUGAGACUACGGUGCCUCUCGGCUACCCACCCAGACAGAGCCCGCAAGAUUCCAGGGGCCCUCUAUUCCGAUCCCUGUCUUCAAGCAGUUUUUUAUCUAAACUGAGAGAGACCAGAACCUGUCCUCUUAAAAUCUCAAUGGGAGGAGAACCUUCACAAACUGGCUUCAGUAUUCCACAACUAAUAGAAAGUUUCUUUGGGUCUAAUCUAAAUCCCUUCUCCUACAAAUUAAACCCAUUUCAAAAAUUAUCCUUAGUGGCAAGAAACGCUCGGGACACUGCCCCCCACUCAAUAGCUCAUCACACUCUCAGCUGGCCUGUAUUUCUGCCCCCCAGUCUCUCCCCCUCCCAUUUUCUUCCUUUCCAUCCCAUUGGACUUCCCCCACUCUGGUUUCCACGUGACGCCUGCCCUCCAGAGACAGGGAAUUUCAGCCAAGUGCUUUUGCUUCAUUCGGAGGAUGUCCUUAAAGUUAGCUGCUUCCCUCCUUUGGCCUCCUGCGGCCCAGAGUGACCAGGCCCUUUCUGGUCUUAUUCCAGCAGUCUUUCGGAGCCUUACGACUUUUCAUCCACCUUGUCCAAGUAGCUAACUCCGGGGUCGGGCAUGGUGGGGUGUUCUCAGACCUAAAGUUCAAACGCUUAGCGUGGGGACCCCGGCCUUUCAGUUCAAGGGCAGGAGGACGGGGUGACCGUUCCCAGAUGCCCAGAGAUGGCAGUUGGGUGUUCGAGACCCUGCCUCAGAGGCUAAUUCCUUUUUAGGGGGCCGGGAAGAGUUAUUUUAUACUGAGGGAGGCCUCUGAGUUGGGAUUUUCUGGUUAGAACCCCUGAAAUCACAUUUCCUAUGGAGGUCUCAGAACUUCCAGUCCUUCUUGGGCCUUGGGCCAAUUUUAUUCUAGAAUCUGCUGCUGUCCCGUGUGGGAAAACUCUUACUACAAGCGGGACCCUCCAAGGUGAGGAAGAGACUGGUCCCCUUUUUCUCUUUCCAUACCAAGGAGUGAUGAAUACUGCUGCUUCUCCUCUGUAACAAAUCCCACCACCAGCAGAAGUGUGGGUGUAGGAUGGAAGAGGAGAUCACUUCAUGAUGAUUUGUGACCUGAACAUGGAACAGAGAGAAAAAGGAAGGGGUAGGGGAGAAGGGAUAAAAGAGAGAAGGAAAUGAGGUUAAAGAGAUGAGGAGAAGGGAAAGUGUAAAGCUCAUAUCUCCCCACUCAAAAUUUCCAUCUGCUCCGACACCUCUCCCUGAUCACCCGUCAGAGGGGACAUGGAAAGGACUAGGGAAAACAGGAUGAGUCCAGAAACGGCAACAGCUGGAAAUGCCAGGAUGUGCCUGCGGUUGGACUUGGCAGAGGGUUGGGUGAGGAAGAGGGUGGGAGUGUGGGGGGCGUUGUGAGUAACACAUGGAUUCCUGAAGGAUGGACUGAGGAUUCUGGCCACACGCACCCACCCACCAGUAUGACUGGACCGCGGUGUUAGUUGGGAAGGUGAUUAUCUGUUCGCUCCUCCCCGCUCCUAGAAGACCAUUUUCCCCAAAGACUCUUGGGCUGGGGCGUGGGGUGUGUUUUCCUCCGUUUCUUUUUCUAAAUGCCUGGAUGAACCAUUGUUUUUGUAAAAUGAAAAACUGAAACGAA